rnacentral:ncRNA from 1 species
GGGCUACACACGUGCUACAAUGGCGGUGACAGUAGGACGCAAUGGGGCGACCCGGAGCCAAUCCACUAAAAGCCGUCUCAGUUCGGAUUGUACUCUGCAACUCGAGUGCAUGAAGCUGGAAUCGCUAGUAAUCGCGGAUCAGCAUGCCGCGGUGAAUACGUUCCCAGGCCUUGUACACACCGCCCGUCACACCAUGGGAGUUGGAUUCACCCGAAGGCGCUGCGCUAACCCGCAAGGGAGGCAGGCGACCACGGUGGGUUCAGCGACUGGGGUGAAGUCGUAACAAGGUAGCCGUAGGGGAACCUGCGGCUGGAUCACCUCCUUU